rnacentral:rRNA from 1 species
CGGAGGGUGCGAGCGUUGUCCGGAAUCAUUGGGCGUAAAGGGCGCGUAGGUGGCCCGGUCAGUUCGUGGUGAAAGCGCGGGGCUCAACUCCGCGUCGGCCAUGAAUACUGCUGGGCUGGAGCACUGUAGAGGCAGGCGGAAUUCCGGGUGUAGCGGUGGAAUGCGUAGAGAUCCGGAAGAACACCGGUGGCGAAGGCGGCCUGCUGGGCAGUUGCUGACACUGAGGCGCGACAGCGUGGGGAGCAAACAGGAUUAGAUACCCUGGUAGUCCACGCCGUAAACGAUGGGCACUAGGCGCUUGGGGGAGCGACCCUCCGAGGGCCGGCGCUAACGCAUUAAGUGCCCCGCCUGGGGAGUACGGCCGCAAGGCUG